rnacentral:rRNA from 1 species
UACGUAGGGUGCAAGCGUUAAUCGGAAUUACUGGCGUAAAGCGUGCGCAGGCGGCUUUGCAAGACAGAUGUGAAAUCCCCGGGCUCAACCUGGGAACUGCAUUUGUGACUGCAUGGCUAGAGUACGGUAGAGGGGGAUGGAAUUCCGCGUGUAAGCAGUGAAAUGCGUAGAGUAUGCGGAGGAACACCGAUGGCGAAGGCAAUCCCCUGGACCUGUACUGACGCUCAUGCA